rnacentral:rRNA from 1 species
UACGAGGGGGGCGAGCGUUGUUCGGAAUUAUUGGGCGUAAAGGGUGCGUAGGCGGUUCCGCAAGUCCUGUGUGAAAUCUUCGGGCUCAACUCGAAGUCUGCACGGGAAACUGCGGGGCUUGAGUGUGGGAGAGGUGAGUGGAAUUCCCGGUGUAGCGGUGAAAUGCGUAGAUAUCGGGAAGAACACCCGUGGCGAAGGCGGCUCUCUGGGACGGUACUGACGCUGAGACGCGAAAGCGUGGGGAGCGAACAGG